AAUAUGCAAUAUGUAAUGAAAGAUUCUAAGGAUAUUAUAUCCUUUAAUCUAAUAAACUUACUUCUACAAAUUUAUCCUCAGUGUUUACUUGGACACAAGCCCCAAAGAUAGAUGCAGGUAGUCCAUCACAGCUUAUAUGUGUUAUAUAACAGAAAACAAACUAUCCAGUAGUAGGAGACUGGCCCAACAAAUGAGGGUAUAUCUAAAAAGUAAAAUACUAUGCAAAUCUUCAGACUGAUAAUGUAUGAGAUAGAAAGUUAUUUGUUACAUGAUUUAAGAAAUGAUUCCAAGAUAGGUAUAGCAUCUGAUUUUUAAAGAUACGUAGUACAGGCAUCUAUGUGUUAUAGAUGCAUAGAAAAAUGCCUAGUUCAAUGCCAAAUUUUAGGGAUUAUCUCGGGUUGGUGAAAUUAAGGGUUUGUUUUCGUUUUCAGAGAUGGGGUCUCCUUUUUUAGCGCCAUCUGCUUGCAGUGCUGCCUCUUGCUCCUCCCACCACCUCCUCUUGCUCCUCCCACCACCGCUGCUGCCCUGAGUCACUGCCUGCACAGCUCCACCUACCUGGCUCCCCAUACUAGCCUCUGAUAUUUGAGUUCUUACAACAUGGCAGACAUUGACAACCUGCCUAGCUAGGGUAGUUAAAAGAGGAGUGAAUACUCUCAAAAACCUGCAUAAGUGCACAGAUAGAAGCCAAAUUAUAUGAGGAAGUUCACAAUCUUGAAAGAAAGUAUGCUGUUCUCUAUCAGCCUCUAUUUGAUAAGCAAUUUAUGAUUAUUAAUGCAAUUUAUGAACCUAUGAAGAAUGUGAAUGGAAACCAGAUGAAGAAGAUGAGAUUUCAGAGGAGUUGAAAGAAAAGGCCAAGACUGAAGAUGAGAAAAAGGAUGAAGAAAAAAAAGACCCCAAAGGAAUUCCUGAAUUUUGGUUACCUGUUUUUAAGAAUGUUGACUUACUCAGUGAUAUGCUUCAGGAACAUCAUGAACCUAUUCUGAAGCAUUUCGAAGAUACUAAAGUGAAGUUCUCAGAUGCUGGCCAGCCGAAGAGUUUUGUCUUAGAAUUUCACUUUGAACCCAGUGAAUAUUUUACAAAUGAAGUGCUGACAAAGACAUGUAGGAUAAGGUUAGAACCAGAACCAGAUGAUUCUGAUCCCUUUUCUUUUGAUGGACCAGAAAUUAUGGGUUGUACAGGGGGCCAGAUAGAUUGGAAAAAAGGAAAGAAUGUCACUUUGAAAACCAUUAAGAAGCAGAAACACAAGGUACAUGGGACAAUUCGUACUGUGACCAAAACAGUUUCCAAUGACUCUUGCUUUAAUUUUCUUGCCCCUCCUGAAGUUCCUGAGAGUGGAGAUCUGGAUGAUGCUGCUGAAGCUAUCCUCGCUGCAGACUUCAACAUUGGUCACUUUUUAUGUGAGCAUGUAAUCCCAAGAUCAGUGUUACAGUUUACUGGAGGAGUUACUGAAGAUGAUGAUGAUGAGUAUGGUGAAGAAGGUGAAGAAGCAGAUGAGGAAGGGGAAGAUGAAGGAGAUGAGAGAAAUGAUCCAGACUAUGACCUGAAGAAGGAUCAAAACCCAGCAGAAUGCAGGCAGCAGUGAAGCAGGAUAUAUGUGGCCUUGAGGAUAACCUGCACUAUAAUAGCCUAAACACAACUCUUACUUACUGCCUUAUGUUUUUGUAUUUUCUUGGUAGACUAGGUAAUUUUUGUUUUAAAGGACAGGAAACUGAUAUUUUAAAGACCAAUUUGUUCUAGCUAGCAUUUUCACUAGUUUUUCUGCCAGAUAUGUUGAAUGCACAAAUUCUGUCACACAUGUUCAUUCAUUGCUAAUAAUUUGGAUCUUCUGGAAUCUUUUUAUGUAGCUCUUGGAGUACAGCUAUGAAAAUUAACAACUGUUAAAGGAAACACUUUUUUUUUUUUUUCCCGGAAUUUUUUCCUUGAAGAACCAAAGUAUUUUUUCAGCUGUCUGUUGAAUAGGGUUAAGUCUGCUUGGAUUAGCUGUGCCUUUCAUUACUUUCUUACAGAAAUGCAGGGACUUAUACUAAGACAAUUCAUCGUUUAAAAAAA